GGGGGGGGGGGGGGGGGGGGGGGGGGGGGGCGGGGCGGGGGGGGGCGUCGGGGGGAGUGGCGGACGGGGGAGGAACACGUGGGAACGGGCCUGUUGGUUCGGAAUAACGCAGGGAAACUUGUGCUAAUACCGAAUGUGCCCUUCGGGGGAAAGAUUUAUCGCCAUUAGAGCGGCCCGCGUCUGAUUAGCUAGUUGGUGAGGUAACGGCUCACCAAGGCGACGAUCAGUAGCUGGUCUGAGAGGAUGACCAGCCACACUGGGACUGAGACACGGCCCAGACUCCUACGCGAGGCAGCAGUGGGGAAUAUUGCGCAAUGGGCGAAAGCCUGACGCAGCAAUGCCGCGUGAAUGAUGAAGGUCUUAGGAUUGUAAAAUUCUUUCACCGGGGACGAUAAUGACGGUACCCGGAGAAGAAGCCCCGGCUAACUUCGUG
rnacentral:rRNA from 1 species